UACGGAGGGUGCAAGCGUUAUCCGGAUUCACUGGGUUUAAAGGGUGCGUAGGCGGCUUUGCAAGUUGGGUGUGAAAGCCCUCGGCUCAACCGAGGAAUUGCGCUCAAAACUGCCGAGCUUGAGAGAGACAGAGGUAAGCGGAACUAAUGGUGGAGCGGUGAAAUGCGUUGAUAUCAUUAGGAACACCGGUGGCGAAGGCGGCUUACUGGGUCUUUUCUGACGCUGAGGCACGAAAGCCAGGGGAGCGAACGGG
rnacentral:rRNA from 1 species